GUGCCAGCAGCCGCCGUAAUACAGAGGUCUCAAGCGUUGUUCGGAUUCAUUGGGCGUAAAGGGUGCGUAGGCGGCGCGGUAAGUCGGGUGUGAAAUCUCGGAGCUUAACUCCGAAACUGCACUUGAUACUGCUUCGCUAGAGUAUUGGAGAGGAGAUUGGAAUUUACGGUGUAGCAGUGAAAUGCGUAGAUAUCGUAAGGAAGACCAGUGGCGAAGGCGAAUCUCUGGACAAUUACUGACGCUGAGGCACGGAGGCCAGGGGAGCAAACGGGAUUAGAUACCCCAGUAGUCC
rnacentral:rRNA from 1 species